rnacentral:rRNA from 1 species
GACGAACGCUGGCGGCGUGCUUAACACAUGCAAGUCGAACGGAAAGGCCCUGCUUUUGUGGGGUGCUCGAGUGGCGAACGGGUGAGUAACACGUGAGUAACCUGCCCUUGACUUUGGGAUAACUUCAGGAAACUGGGGCUAAUACCGGAUAGGAGCUCCUGCUGCGUGGUGGGGGUUGGAACGUUUCGGCGGUUGGGGAUGGACUCGCGGCUUAUCAGCUUGUUGGUGGGGUAGUGGCUUACCAAGGCUUUGACGGGUAGCCGGCCUGAGAGGGUGACCGGCCACAUGGGGACUGAGAUACGGCCCAGACUCCUACGGGAGGCAGCAGUGGGGAAUAUUGCACAAUGGGCGGAAGCCUGAUGCAGCAACGCCGCGUGCGGGAUGACGGCCUUCGGGUUGUAAACCGCUUUCGCCUGUGACGAAGCGUGAGUGACGGUAAUGGGUAAAGAAGCACCGGCUAACUACGUG